UUUUAAUAAUUAUUAAUUCAUUAUCAUCAAACUUAGGAUAUUUACGGAUUCUAUUUUUUAAAGGUUUACAUUUUUGACGGGAAAAUUACAGGUUAACGUUUUUGGCGGGAAAAUCACGGGUUUACGUUUUUUUGGCGAGAAAAUUAUGGGAUUACGUUUCUGCGGGAAAAUCACGGGUUUACGUUUUUGGCGGGAAAAUCACGGGUUUACGUUUUUUGGCAGAAAAUUACAGGUUUACGUUUUUGGCGGGAAAAUUACGAGUUUACGUUUUUGGCGGGAAAAUUACGGGUUUACGUUUUUGGCGAGAAAAUUACGGGUUUUACGUUUUUGACGGGAAAAUCACGGGUUUUCAUUUUUGGCGGGAAAAUCACAGGUUUACGUUUUUGGUGGGAAAAUCACGGGUUUAUGUUUUUGGUGGGAAAAUCACGGGUUUACGUUUUUGGCGGGAAAAUCACGGAUUUACGUUUUUGUCGGGAAAAUUACGGAUUUCUGUUUUUUGGUGGAUAAAUUACGAGUUUACGUCUUCUCAAUUUCAUCUCUUGUAUAUUUAAGAAAUUUGGAAAAAUAUUGAUUUU
rnacentral:sRNA from 1 species